GUUGUUACUUUGAAAAAAAUAUAGUGCUCAAAGCAAGCUUAUGCUCUGAAUACAUUAGCAUGGAAUAAAGCGAUAGGAGUUUGGUCCUAUUGUGUUAUACUUUGAGACCAAAGUAAUGAUUAAUAGGGACUGUUGGGGGCAUUCGUAUUUCAUUGUCAGAGGUGAAAUUCUUGGAUUUAUGAAAGAUGAACCACUGCGAAAGCAUUUGCAAAGGAUGUUUUCAUUAAUCAAGAACGAAAGUUGGGGGCUCGAAGAUGAUCAUAUACCAUCCUAGUCUCAACCAUAAACGAUGCCAACUAGGGAUCAACGGAUGUUGCUCUAAGGACUCCGCCAACACCUUAUGAGAAAUCAGAGUGUUUGGGUUCCGGGGGGAGUAUGGUCGCAAGGAUGAAACUUAAAGGAAUUGAUGGAAGGGCACCGCUAGGAGUGGAUCCUGCGACUUAAUUUGACUCAACACAGGAAAACUUACCAGGUCCAGACAUAGUAAGGAUUGACAGAUUGAGAGCGCUUUCUUGAUUCUAUGGGUGGUGGUACAUGGUCGUUCUUAGUUGGUGGAGCGAUUUGUCUGGUUAAUUCCGAUAAUGAACGAGACCUCAGCUUGCUAACUAGCUACGUGGAGGUUCCCCUUCGCAGCUAAUGUCUUAGAGGGACUAUGGUCAUUUAGGUCAUGGAAGUUUGAGGCAAUGAUAGCUCUGUGAUGCCCUUAGAUGUUUCGGGCCGGACACGUGCUACACUGAUGCAGUCGAAAAGUUUUUCUCCCUGGUUCAAGAGGAUCGGGAAAUUAUUGCAUUGUGAUGGGGAUAGACCAUUGAAAUUAGUGGUCUUGAAUGAUGAAUUCCUAGUAAGCAUUUUUCAUCAUCUCAUGUUGACUACGUCCAUGCCCUUUGUACACACCACCCAUCGCUCCUACCAAUUGAAUGAUCCGAUGAAGUGUUUGGAUCGUGUCAAUGAGGGUGGUUCAUCGCCGACGAUGUUGUGAGAAGUUCAUUGAACCUUAUCAUUUAGAGCAAGGAUAAGUCGUAACAAGGUUACCAUAGGUGAACCUUCCAAAUAUUUAUGU
rnacentral:ncRNA from 1 species